rnacentral:rRNA from 1 species
GACGAACGCUGGCGGCGUGCCUAAUACAUGCAAGUAGAACGCAGUUGCGAACGGGUGAGUAACGCGUAGGUAACUGCCUCAUAGCGGGGGAUAACUAUUGGAAACGAUAGCUAAUACCGCAUCCUUUUGGCUGGACAUGCGUUGUAUUAGCUAGUUGGUGAGGUAAAGGCUCACCAAGGCGCCGAUACAUAGCCGAACUGGGAGGGGGAGCGGCCAAACUGGGACUGAGACACGACCCCGACUCCUACGGGAGGCAGCAGGAGGGAAUCUUCGGCAAUGGACGGAAGUCUGACCGAGAAACGCCGCGGGAGUGAAGAAGGUUUUCGGAUCUUAAAGCUCUGUUGGUAGAGAAGCGGUACCUAACCAGAAAGGGACGGCUAACUACGUGCCAGCAGCCGCGGUAAUAC